rnacentral:rRNA from 1 species
GAUGAACGCUGGCGGCGUGCCUAAUACAUGCAAGUCGAGCGAACAGACGAGGAGCUUGCUCCUCUGACGUUAGCGGCGGACGGGUGAGUAACACGUGGAUAACCUACCUAUAAGACUGGGAUAACUUCGGGAAACCGGAGCUAAUACCGGAUAAUAUAUUGAACCGCAUGGUUCAAUAGUGAAAGACGGUUUUGCUGUCACUUAUAGAUGGAUCCGCGCCGCAUUAGCUAGUUGGUAAGGUAACGGCUUACCAAGGCAACGAUGCGUAGCCGACCUGAGAGGGUGAUCGGCCACACUGGAUCUGAGACACGGUCCAGACUCCUACGGGAGGCAGCAGUAGGGAAUCUUCCGCAAUGGGCGAAAGCCUGACGGAGCAACGCCGCGUGAGUGAUGAAGGUCUUCGGAUCGUAGAACUCUGUUAUUAGGGAAGAACAAAUGUGUAAGUAACUAUGCACGUCUUGACGGUACCUAAUCAGAAAGCCACGGCUAACUACGUG